AUGAAGAUGGAAGAAGAUGGAUCACUUUUAGACAUCUUUUCUUGACCUUGCUGUAAACCGGGGAGCAUGUAAUGAGAUAAAAUGAUAGGCUUGUUUUUCCUCUUGAUGUCAUCACAGUAUUCUCUUGCAAGUACAUUCACUUUCCGUUGAUCCAUGCCCAACUGACAAAUGUCAGCCUUGAGAAAAAAUAUGUCAGCACACUGCAUGCAUGGAUAAAGAAUCUGGGCUGCUGUCAGCUCGUCUUGCUCACUACGACCCAUUAUUUGAACACACCUCAUUAUCCUGGGAAGCUUGUUCCUACGAGCUAUAUCCAUUACAAGAGGCCAGUACUCAGAUGCCCGAGAGUUAAUUUCCUCUGAAGACCAUAGAAAUUCAACUUUAUCUCCUUCAAGAUCCAUCCCAACUGCCUUCCAUAUCUCAAUCAAAUAACGUCCUACCGUUUGAAUUUUCUUCAAGUCUCCUCCCAUUUUGUUGUUUAGCUGGGCAAACCAAUCAGCAAUCCAAAUUUUCACUUUGCAACCAGCAGAAGUCAGUUUAUUCACAUUGAUUGUCUUCAUAACUCCCUGGGCAAUGUGCAUUCUCCCAGAAGGCUCAAACCCAUCAUAGCAAAUGGGUUGGGGCUUCUUGGCGAGAAGAUUGAAGAGCUCAUCCUCUUGAAUACACUCUUCUCCAACACUCCUCACGAUACGGAACCUCUCUUCUGGAGUCAUCUGGGAGAGGUAGAAUUAGAACUUGAAUCGGUAGAGUUGACGGAGAGGUACUGCAUCGCUUGGGUUGGUGGGAUUUGCUCCUCCGUUGACAUGCUUGCAUCUGAGGAACC
rnacentral:misc_RNA from 1 species